CCAACCUCCAGCUCCUUGUCCCUUGUCUAGAUCCUAGUCAUUCUCUACAACACAGUUCAAACAUCGCUGCCUCAAGGAAACCCUGCCUCACCACAUCAUCAGCCCUCAGCUUCCGUCCCAGCCCCGGCCAAGUGAUCUUCCUCUCUGUUCCCAUGACUCUGGGAAAUCAGCUGACUACCCAGAGGCCAGCACACUCUUCUCCCUUUCCAGAGAGCUUCCAUUUUAUUUGGGUGUCUACCCUGACCUCACAUGACUCAGGAUUAAAUUCUGAAUCAUCCAAGCCAGUCAUCGAAAUUCCAGUUCCCUUGCCAGCUCUUGGUUUUAGGAAGAGACGAAUGACUCAAUCCUGGUGAAUAAAAUGAGAGAGGAAUUUAUCUGAGGUUUUCUAGGAAGGGCUUCCCUGCUGAUUAAACAUACACACACCCUCUUGAACAUCAUUGUAUCUGCCUAUGAUAACUGAAACCGUGACAGCCUCCUUGGGACCUCAAGGGGAACUGGCCAGGGGUAAGGAGAGGAUGCAGUGCACACAGAUGGAAAAGCCUGUGAUUCCGAAGACAUCAUUGAGCUACUGAAGAAAGCAACCCUGGAUUCCUCCUGCCUCAGAAGAUCUUAUUAUGGGACAUAAUUUUCCUUAAUUGUUUAAUCAAUUUUGCAAUGGAUUUCCUAUUACUUGCAGCACUCAAAUGGAUUUUUAUUAGUUCUAUAUACACAAAUCUUACUAAUUUUUUUCAUGAAAUAUCUAGAGACUAUCUAUGUGAAUGGUGAGCAUUUCUUAUAAUAAAACUGACUAUACCAUGCACAUUUAUGCUAGGAAAAUUGCAAGCCAAAAUAAAGAAAAUGUAAUUUAUUUGUUAUCUACUUAGAUUUUCCUUUCAGGAGAGAUGAAUAUGUGGAUUCACCUGGUUGCAAAAUUUUGUCAAGAUGGGUCAGUUUUACUUUUCAACUAAAAGUCCAAGGAUGUUUACAAAAUUUUUGAUUCUGCCUUCUUUCUCUACUUGACAGGAAAACUACAGAAUUUUAUAUUUUUGAUUACAUCAGCAAAUUUAAUGAGCAAGCAGUCUUCUUUCAGCAAAUAUUAC
rnacentral:lncRNA from 1 species